AUUGAACGCUGGCGGCAUGCUUUACACAUGCAAGUCGAACGGUAACAGGGAGCUUGCUCUGCUGACGGGUGGCGAACGGGUGAGUAAUGCGUCGGAACGUGCCGAGUAGUGGGGGAUGACGCAGCGAAAGUUGUGCUAAUGACGCAUACGUACUGAGGUAGAAAGUGGGGGACCUUCGGGCCUCACGCUCUUCGUGCGGCCGAGGUCUGAUUAGCUAGUAGGUGAGGUAAAGGCUCACCUAGGUGACGAUCAGUAGCGGGUCUGAGAGGAUGAUCCGCCACACUGGGACUGAGACACGGCCCAGACUCCUACGGGAGGCAGCAGUGGGGAAUUUUGGACAAUGGGCGAAAGCCUGAUCCAGCCAUGCCGCGUGUCUGAAGAAGGCCUUCGGGUUGUAAAGGACUUUUGUCGGGGAGGAAAUCCCCAGCGCUAAUACCGCUGGGGAAUGACAGUACCUGAAGAAUAAGCACCGGCUAACUACGUGCCAGCAGCCGCCGUAACAC
rnacentral:rRNA from 1 species